GGAGAUUUAGCUCAGUGGUAGAGCGCUUGCCUAGUAAGCGCAAGGCCCUGGGUUCGGUCCCAGCUCCG
rnacentral:tRNA from 1 species